rnacentral:rRNA from 1 species
GACGAACGCUGGCGGCGUGCUUAACACAUGCAAGUCGAGCGGAAAGGCCCUGCUUUUGUGGGGUGCUCGAGUGGCGAACGGGUGAGUAACACGUGAGUAACCUGCCCUUGACUUUGGGAUAACUUCAGGAAACUGGGGCUAAUACCGGAUAGGAGCUCCUGCUGCAUGGUGGGGGUUGGAAAGUUUCGGCGGUUGGGGAUGGACUCGCGGCUUAUCAGCUUGUUGGUGGGGUAGUGGCUUACCAAGGCUUUGACGGGUAGCCGGCCUGGGAGGGUGACCGGCCACAUUGGGACUGAGAUACGGCCCAGACUCCUACGGGAGGCAGCAGUGGGGAAUAUUGCACAAUGGGCGGAAGCCUGAUGCAGCAACGCCGCGUGCGGGAUAACGGCCUUCGGGUUGUAAACCGCUGUCGCCUGUGACGAAGCGUGAGUGACGGUAAUGGGUAAAGAAGCACCGGCUAACUACGUG